CUGCAGAUAAAAGGCCAGCCUUUCCCCCUAGAAGGGCUACAGGGCGGCACUUUUGUUUGUGAACCUCACACACCCUGGGGUGGGGAUUCCUUUGCUGUUGCCGUGACCAACCCCGUCACACUGGGUUACAAGUCCUGCCCUGGCCCGCCCUCCUCCUGCUGCCUUCAAAUGGCCCAGAUUUUUUGCUUUUGCUUUUCAGGAGGGCAAGAACUUUGUUUUUUUUGAGGUUUCUAAGCAGAUGAUCUAAUUUUGAAGUGCAUUUCCCUCAGUGGCCCAACAAAUCUCCAUGAAGAACAAAAGCCCCAUGGGACAGACUUUCUCUCAAAGGGUUCAUGAUGGCUAGCCCCGUUCCUGGCAUACCAGAGGUGCUCAACACAUUUGAAGAGAAGCGGGAUUAUUUGUACAUCAGAUGAACCCAAGUCCUAAGAUAAACAUAAUUCAGCAUCCCGGAAGACUUGAGGAGAAAAACAGCUGUGUUAUUUUUAAAAGGAUAUUAACUCG